GUAGGUGGCAAGCGUUGUCCGGAAUUAUUGGGCGUAAAGCGCGCGCAGGUGGUUCUUUAAGUCUGAUGUGAAAGCCCCCGGCUCAACCGGGGAGGGUCAUUGGAAACUGGGGAACUUGAGUGCAGGAGAGGAAAGUGGAAUUCCACGUGUAGCGGUGAAAUGCGUAGAUAUGUGGAGGAACACCAGUGGCGAAGGCGACUUCUGGCCUGUAACUGACACUGAGGCGCGAAAGCGUGGGGAGCAAACAGGAUUAGAUACCCUGGUAGUCCACGCCGUAAACGAUGAGUGCUAAGUGUUGGGGGGGUUUCCCGCCCCCCACAGUGCUGCAGCUAACGCAUUAAGCACUCCGCCUGGGGAUACGGUCGCAAGACUG
rnacentral:rRNA from 1 species